GUGCCAGCCGCCGCGGUAAUACCGGCAGCUCGAGUGAUGUCCAAUAUUAUUGGGCCUAAAGCGUCCGUAGCUGGCUGCGCAAGUCCGUCGGGAAAUCCGCUCGCCCAACGAGUGGGCGUCCGACGGAAGCUGCACAGCUUAGGACCGGAAGGCUCGAAGGGUACGUUCGGGGUAGGAGUGAAAUCCCGUAAUCCCGGACGGACCACCGAUGGCGAAAGCACUCUGAGAAGACGGAUCCGACAGUGAGGGACGAAAGCCAGGGUCUCCAACCGGAUUAGAUACCCGAGUAGUCC
rnacentral:rRNA from 1 species